rnacentral:tRNA from 1 species
UCCCUGGAGGACUAGUGGUUAGGCCACGGCGCUAUCACUGCUGUAGCCUGGGUUCGAUUCCCGGACAGGGAA